AGUUGCUGCUUCUAUUGUUUGUACCGGUGUUUGUGUAAUAUUUUUAAAGAAUAUUACCCCAUCUCUACUACGCAAACAACUACCAUUAUUAUGUAAUAUAAAACUUAAACCUAACACAAAAUCUACAUUUAUAUUUAAAUCUCUUACCCAAAUUUUAUCUACCAUAUAACUAGGUUUAUAAAAAUCUAAACAUGUAUUUACAAAACUAAUCUGUGAUUUAUCUAUAUAAUGUUUAUAUAUAUUAUGGGUUCCAUCCAUUUGCAU
rnacentral:lncRNA from 1 species